GUCUAUGGCCAUACCACCCUGAACGCGCCGGAUCUCGUCUGAUCUCGGAAGCUAAGCAGGGUCGGGCCUGGUUAGUACUUGGAUGGGAGACGGCCUGGGAAUACCGGGUGCUGUAGGCU
rnacentral:rRNA from 1 species